rnacentral:rRNA from 1 species
GUGAAUUUGGUGCCAGCAGGUGCGGUAAUAGGAAGGUUCCUGGGUUGGGCCGGAUUUACGGGGUUUAAAGGGUGCGUAGGCGGACUUUUAAUUCAGUGGUGAAAGCUUGCAGCUUAACUGUAAAAUUGCCAUUGAAACUGAUUGUCUCGAGUGCGGUUGAGGUCACUGGAAUGUAUCAUGUAGCGGUGAAAUGCUUAGAUAUGAUACAGAACACCGAUUGCGAAGGCAGGUGACUAAGCCGUAACUGACGCUGAGGCACGAAAGCGUGGGGAUCAAACAGGAUUAGAUACCCGAGUAGUC